rnacentral:rRNA from 1 species
GACGAACGCUGGCGGCGUGCUUAACACAUGCAAGUCGAACGGAAAGGCCCUGCUUUUGUGGGGUGCUCGAGUGGCGAACGGGUGAGUAACACGUGAGUAACCUGCCCUUGACUUUGGGAUAACUUCAGGAAACUGGGGCUAAUACCGGAUAGGAGCUCCUGCUGCAUGGUGGGGGAUGGAAAGUUUCGGCGGUUGGGGAUGGACUCGCGGCUUAUCAGCUUGUUGGUGGGGUAGUGGCUUACCAAGGCUUUGACGGGUAGCCGGCCUGAGAGGGUGACCGGCCACAUUGGGACUGGGAUACGGCCCAGACUCCUACGGGAGGCAGCAGUGGGGAAUAUUGCACAAUGGGCGGAAGCCUGAUGCAGCAACGCCGCGUGCGGGAUGACGGCCUUCGGGUUGUAAACCGCUUUCGCCUGUGACGAAGCGUGAGUGACGGUAAUGGGUAAAGAAGCACCGGCUAACUACGUG